rnacentral:rRNA from 1 species
GACGAACGCUGGCGGCGUGCUUAACACAUGCAAGUCGAACGGUGAAGCGCCUUCCUUUUUGGUGGGUGUGGAUGAGUGGCGAACGGGUGAGUAACACGUGAGUAACCUGCCCCCUUCUUCUGGAUAACCGCAUGAAAGUGUGGCUAAUACGGGAUAUUCUGGGUCUGUCGCAUGAUGGGUCUGGGAAAGAUAUUGUUUCGGUGGGGGAUGGGCUCGCGGCCUAUCAGCUUGUUGGUGGGUGAUGGCCUACCAAGGCGGUGACGGGUAGCCGGCCUGAGAGGGUGGACGGUCACACUGGGACUGAGACACGGCCCAGACUCCUACGGGAGGCAGCAGUGGGGAAUAGUGCACAAUGGGCGCAAGCCUGAUGCAGCGACGCCGCGUGAGGGAUGGAGGCCUUCGGGUUGUGAACCUCUUUCGCCAGUGAAGCAGGCCUGCCUCGUUUGUGGGUGGGUUGACGGUAGCUGGAUAAGAAGCGCCGGCUAACUACGUG